UUUAGAAGGCAGUUUGACAACAUGACUAUUUAGCAAAAUAUGGGCCCAUUGGGACUAUGACUUUUUUUUCUUCAGCUGCUGUUUUUUGACAUUCAGGUGAGCACCAUAGCAACAGGCCUGGAGAUGCUGCAGUAGAACAGAAGGUGGAGAGUGGAGUGUGUGUCUGCAGCCACAGCUGAGUGGAGUGCACAAGGAGGAGUGGGGGAGGCAAAGAUGUUGGGGAAGCAAAUCAGGCCCAAGGGUUAUCUACACAGGGACCUGGGCCUAAGCCCCUACUCUUGCUGUCUCCUGACUCCAGGCCAGGGCUGGGAGUUCUCUGGGCAACUUUCUACAGGAGCAAAACACACAGAGAUGUUGUUGCCCUUUUGUGAUAAAGGCAGAGGGUUUACAGUUCUUCAUUCCUCCUUCAUCCCUAGCUUGGGAAGGGCCAUAUGAUAGACAGCUGGGCUCUAGUCCAUGUUUCAAAGGCAGUAAUUUUUCCAGGUGUCCCAGCCCACCAGCGCCACAGUAUGGCCCAGAGUGAACACUACAAGUGUUGCUGGCCUAAUGGAUGGGAUAGGGGAGGGGAUGGGACAGGGGCUAGAAGAGGGGCUCCAGAGGGCCAUCAAGGCACGACACACAUGGUGUUGGUGAAGCCAGAGCCAGGGCGCCACCCAGUCAGCACAAUGAACACAUCUCCCUUCUUGCUGCCCAAGGAGCCACCAUUCUCCACCUCUGUCACCAGGUAGCCAGCACCUUUCUCCUUCACCUGCAGUGAAAUGAGCCCGUCAUCCACGUAGAUCUUGCUGCCCACCUCCACCACCUUACAGAUGUUCUUAUAGUCCAGCCACAGGAUGUUAUCAUCACACUUCUCCAUGUAGGCAUUGUCCAGGGUGAUCAUCAGGGUGGCUCCCUUCUUCAGCUCCACUUCUGCAGUGCCGCUGCCUUUGAUGAGUCCAGUCCUGAUCUCAGGUCCCUUUGUGUGCAGAGCUGUCACAGCAACAGGCCGGUAGAGGAUGGGGUCAGAUGCAAAACUUUCUGUGGCUGUUCGCACAUUCUUAUAGUUUCUGUGUGAUACUCAUGAGUUCCAUGAGAGAAAUUCAGACGAGCCACAUUCAUUCCAGACUUGAUCAUCUCCUUCAGCAUCUCCACAGACCGGGAAGCAGGACCAAUGGUACAAAUGAUGCCAGUGUUGCUGGCGUGAUGGCUGCGGAGUCAAUGUCCAGGCAGCACAUAUGUUCCAGGAAGGUAUCAGCCAUGGCUGCAUGGAGCUGCUGGGUCUGAAUGAAGGCAGUCCCUGCUUCCCUGUGUGGUUUCGGCAUGGUUCCUGAGGUCCUCAGGCGUACUCCAGAUCUUGCAGCGAUGCCUAAGUCGGAUGUCUGCAGGCUCAGGACGAGUCACCGGUGUGUGUGUGGGGGGACGACACUAUGACUUUUCUAGCCAUGGGGUUCAACUAACUAUGUUU
rnacentral:lncRNA from 1 species